UCCGACUCAUUUAUUUCAAUAUUUAUACCCCACAUGCUUGGCUGUCAGCUGCUGCUGGCUUCGUGCGAGUGAAAGGAUGAGCGAGCAGGGGAGUUUCCGAAAAGGAUCUGACAAAGGUGACAACUACUCACCUUUUCCAGAAACAUGGUGAUAUCUGAUUUUUGCAGCAGGACCCAAAUUCCAUAACCAGAGAGUUCUCUCUGAACACAAGAAAACAAUUGACAUCAAAAUUACAGAAAUAAAUGAAAUAGAAUUUCUCCCAGAGCCUACGCUUCCGAGAACAUGGAUCUCAACCUUAAAUGUGGCCAUGCAGGGCCAUGAAAAUGGUUAAUAAACAAGCUGCCCUACACUGUUUUUGCCAUCUCCACCCAUUUUUGGUCAGACAUGCCCUAUUUUGGGGUUCUACUAUAAUAAAUCUGAAGGACAUACUGAUUUACAGAUGUCUGUAUGUGCAAGAGAAACCAGCAGAUCCUCAGUGAAGACGCCAUUGUCAGCUGCUUAACGGGAUAUAUAAAUACAAUCAAGUGCAUCAGUGGAAGGGACUUCAGGUGACUCUCACUGGGAUUUCAGCUUUUGCUGUUGUCCUUUUACUAUACUGGAAUCUGCUGGAGUGAUCUUAUUGGACCAGCUAUUCUGAAGUGGGGAUGAUGAACACUAACCUCAACUGGAAUUAUAUCUCUCUGGAAAGCCCAUUCAGUGAGAGAUCUAACAUUUUCCUAUAAGGAGGUUAGUUAUUCCUCUUCCAAAUGGUGUUAGUUUCCACUAAUCAUUCUUUUCCAAGAGAACCAUAUUUCCUUUCCUUGAUUCUAUACAUCUCCUUGGUCCAUCAACAGCCCCAAACAAUAACCUCCUUUUGGUCAACAUCUCUACUACAGAACAUGCUUCUGAUUUGCUUAGAAAGACAGUCGCAUCUUGCAGACUGCCUCUUCAAUCUUCUGCUGAAAGAAGAUAGAUCCACCUGCUGCAGGUUCAUAAACAAAACACAUUCAACUCCUAUUCGUUUGUUCUGAGUGCCUCCUCGGCCUGCUGUCAAUUUGAAUCUUUUAUCAAAGAAAUGGAUUAAGUUGUGCUGAUAUGUCUGUGUCUCUUCACUUGGUGCCUGAUCUAUCUUAGCUGCUUAAAUGACUGGCCUCCCUUUCAACUUAACGUCAUGUGGAAUAGAUACAGAUUUACAUUUAUGCAAUUUUUUUUUAAAUCACAUGAUUCUGCUAGCCCUGUUUGUAGAACUACUUAUACUGAUACUUAAACUCAUUUAGAUAAUACUAGUCUGAAUAUGUAACUAGAAGGCACAAGGUGUGUCACUAGAAUUUCAUAACUGGGUUUGGAAGAGGAGAAGAAAUACUGGAAAUUCAGCUUUUUUCUCACUUACAUGCCAAGUCCUAAGCACGUGAAUGGCUCUCUAUGCCAUAAGUGGUGACAUCUUAAACACUAAAACACUGCUGUGCUUGGAGUUGGCUAGAGAACCCCCACUAGGCUUUAGGGACAGUUCUUUGAUAAAGAUGAACCAAUGUAUUGCCUAUGUUCAUCAUUCAAAGUUUUAAAUCAAACUUGCCUGAGCCUAGCAAAUGUACUUCGCAAGACCGGCAGUGGGAAGAAAUUAAUCAAUGUCAAAAUAAACAUUUUAUUCAACAAUGUGAAGGAUAUUUUAUUGAAUAGCAUACAUUAAUUGUCAGGGCAUUUUUAGUUUAGGGGUCCUUAAUUUUACAACUUGCUUCCCAACUAUUUGCUUGAAUUCAUGGAACCAUAAGCUGAGCUGGACAUGUAAUUAUGGUAUGUAGUGUUAUGGUAUGUAGUGUAAUAGUAAAUGAGUCUCAGUGAUGACAAUGAUCAAGUUAAGUAUAUACAUUUUAAAUAUUGUUAGGUAUGCAGAGGCUACAUGAUGGGUACUUUCCUACAUUAAUAAAAAUGAGAGAUUUUGAUGAGUACAAAGAUGUUUCAGUCAAUAUUUGUCACUAAAUCUUGAAAGUCAACAUCUGUUUGUUCAUAUAAUAUGUACACUGAAGUUUGUUUAAUAUUUGCUAGUAACCAUUCUGUUAAGUUUUAGAAACUUUAUUGAAAAAUAAUGUUAUUCACAUUAAGCUCUCCAACACCUUUUUUGAGACAUCUACCCAUCCUUACAACUAGUUUCUUUCUGUGCCAAGAGUUGGGCUUCAUGAAGCAUAUGAACAUGAGUGUGUGUGUAAAGCAAUCUUCUCUUGGUGAGAAAUGUAUUUCACCUGGCCAGUGUAACUGUUUGGGUAUCUACAGAGACUUCCUGUGCACUUGUUAUUUAUUGGCUUGUCAAAGAAUCAUGUUUUCCUGCUAAAAAUAAAUAUUUUUAAACAAUUAACUGUUCUUUACAAAAUUAAGUGUGAUUUAUAAAAGGCUGCAGUGUCAAAAGGCAGUAGCAAAUGCUGCUCAUGUAUGCCACAUGAUUUUUGUGUUCCUUUCAUACAUGAAAAAACAAUGUACUUGAUUUGAUGUGUGUUAUACUGUCAAUUGUAUUUAGCGGUGUUCUGAGAACUGCACCAGAGAGUGGGCCAAAAUGUAAAACAUUUAAAAUAAAAAUUCUUGAUUUGCUGACAUUCUGUAUUGUGAUGAGCUAGCAAAGCAAUACCCUCAUUUUGGUUUGGGACAGGUGGAUGGCAUGCCUAAAGAUAUGGUUCAGUAAAAAACAGAUAUAGAACCAAAAGCCUAUAAACAGCCAAGUUCACAGUUUUCUUGACUUUUAAAAUUUGUUUUAUAGGUUUCCAAAACUAGGGGGGAAAUAUUGCAGUGCUUUCAGAAUGCAACUACUGCAUCCUAUGCGUACUGUUUUGGCUUGUCCACAACACAUCUGAUUAGUUCUGCUGAGCCAGGGAGAGGGACCACAGACUACAUAAACUUGUUGAAGGUGUCUACAGUGCUUUGCAGCAUUGUGCACAUAUCAGGGAGUGAAAAAGGAAUCUUGGGGAAGGGUUUAUUAUGGACUCCUCUUACUCCCACCCUCAACCUGAAGUGCUAGGACAGGGAGAAGACUAUUAUAGCCAUUCCCCUUUUGCCUUGCAUCCUGCAGUAUGGAAUAUUCCAAAUCCCAUGGACUGUCACCAGCAAAUUAUCUGACUGCUCUGGCCGUGCACUGGAAUACAGAUUUUGUCCGUAAUUAGCAUCUAUAGUUAAUCAAACAACUCAUAGACUUUAAGGUCAGAAGGGACCA